AGAACGAACGCUGGCGGAGUGCCUAAUACAUGCAAGUUGAGCGUGAGGGGAGCAAUCCCUGAAAGCGGCGAACGGGUGAGUAACACGUAAGUAAUCUGCCUCUAAAUUUGGGAUAACCCUGCUAACGUGGGGCUAAUACCGGAUGUGGUCAUUUUUUCGCAUGAGAAGGUGAUUAAAGGUGGCGCAAGCUGCUGUUUAGAGAUGAACUUGCGGCCCAUUAGCUAGUUGGUGAGGUAACAGCUUACCAAGGCAGAGAUGGGUAGCCGACCUGAGAGGGUGAUCGGCCACAUUGGGACUGAGAUACGGCCCAGACUCCUACGGGAGGCAGCAGUAGGGAAUUUUGCGCAAUGGACGAAAGUCUGACGCAGCAACUCCGCGUGAUGGAUGAAGGUCUUCGGAUUGUAAACAUCUGUUGAUAGGGACGAAAACAUUAUACGCGAAUAACGUGUAGUAUUGACGGUACCUGUUGAGGAAGCCCCGGCUAACUACGUGCCAGCAGCCGCGGUAAUACGUAGGGGGCUAGCGUUGUUCGGAAUCACUGGGCGUAAAGGGAGCGUAGGCGGGGAUAUAAGUUGGGAGUGAAAUAUGGCAGCUUAACUGUCAAAGUGCUUUCAAUACUGUAUUUCUUGAGUGUGGAAGGGGUAGAUGGAAUUCCUGGUGUAGCGGUGGAAUGCGUAGAUAUCAGGAAGAACACCAAUAGCGAAGGCGGUCUACUGGUCCAAUACUGACGCUGAGGCUCGAAAGCUAGGGGAGCAAACAGGAUUAGAUACCCUGGUAGUCCUAGCUGUAAACGAUGGAUACUAGUUGUUGGGAAGAGCAAAUUCUCAGUGACGAAGCAAACGCGAUAAGUAUCCCGCCUGGGGAGUACGCUCGCAAGAGUGAAACUCAAAGGAAUUGACGGGGGCCCGCACAAGCGGUGGAGCAUGUGCUUUAAUUCGAUGCAACGCGAAGAACCUUACCUGGUCUUGACAUGGGAAUGAAAGUUGGUAGAGAUAUCGACCUUUUCGCAAGAGACAUUCCACACAGGUGCUGCAUGGUUGUCGUCAGCUCGUGUCGUGAGAUGUUGGGUUAAGUCCCGCAACGAGCGCAACCCUCGUCCUUAGUUGCCAGCACGUAACGGUGGGAACUCUAGGGAUACUGCCUGGAAUAACCAGGAGGAAGGUGGGGAUGACGUCAAAUCAUCAUGGCUCUUACGACCAGGGCUAGACACGUGCUACAAUGGAUAGAACAAAGGGGAGCAAGACUGUGAAGUUUAGCGAAUCCACAAAACUAUCCUCAGUUCGGAUUGGAGUCUGCAAUUCGACUCCAUGAAGCUGGAAUCGCUAGUAAUCGUGGAUCAGCACGCCACGGUGAAUACGUUCCCGGGCCUUGUACACACCGCCCGUCAAGCCAUGAAAGACGGUAGUACCCGAAGCCGUUACUCUAACCCGCAAGGGGGGAUAAUGUCUAAGGUAAGAUUGUUGAUUGGGGCUAAGUCGUAACAAGGUA
rnacentral:rRNA from 1 species